GGGAAACAGGAUGAGGGGCAAGCCCCAGGCCCCAGGCAAAAAACACUUGGGGCA
rfam:Sarcophilus harrisii ctg7180001678661, whole genome shotgun sequence.